GUUUGCGCGGAAAAUAUAACGGGGCUAAAGUAAGUACCGAAGCUGUAGACUUGCGCACAACUUAGAUUAUUUAAGUUUAGAAUAUGAGAAACUAAGUUAUAUGUUUAGUUAUAUUUUUACUGAUUUUUAUAGAGUAAAGAUAGAAAUAAAACUUAGUAAAAUCAGUAAAAAUAUUCUUAGACUAAAGUUAAGUAGUUUAAGUUGUGUGCAAGUGGUAGGAGAGCGUUCUAUUUGCGUCGAAGGUAUACCGGUAAGGAGUGCUGGAGCGAAUAGAAGUGAGCAUGCAGGCAUGAGUAGCGAUAAUUAAUGUGAGAAUCAUUAACGCCGUAAACCCAAGGUUUCCUACGCGAUGCUCGUCAUCGUAGGGUUAGUCGGGUCCUAAGUCGAGUCCGAAAGGGGUAGACGAUGGCAAAUUGGUUAAUAUUCCAAUACCAACAUUAGUGUGCGAUGGAAGGACGCUUAGGGCUAAGGGGGCUAGCGGAUGGAAGUGCUAGUCUAAGGUCGUAGGAGGUUAUACAGGCAAAUCCGUAUAACAAUACUCCGAGAACUGAAAGGCUUUUUGAAGUCUUCGGAUGGAUAGAAGAACCCCUGAUGCCGUCGAGCCAAGAAAAGUUUCUAAGUUUAGCUAAUGUUGCCCGUACCGUAAACCGACACAGGUGGGUGGGAUGAGUAUUCUAAGGCGCGUGGAAGAACUCUCUUUAAGGAACUCUGCAAAAUAGCACCGUAUCUUCGGUAUAAGGUGUGGUUCGCUUCGUAUUAGGAUUUACUCCGAAAGCGAAGAAACUUACAACAAAGAGUCCCUCCCGACUGUUUACCAAAAACACAGCACUCUGCUAACUCGUAAGAGGAUGUAUAGGGUGUGACGCCUGCCCGGUGCUCGACGUUAAUUGAUGGGGUUAGCAUUAGCGAAGCUCUUGAUCGAAGCCCGAGUAAACGGCGGC
rnacentral:rRNA from 1 species